rnacentral:rRNA from 1 species
UACGGAAGGCAGCAGUGGGGAAUAUUGCACAAUGGGCGCAAGCCUGAUGCAGCCAUGCCGCGUGUAUGAAGAAGGCCUUCGGGUUGUAAAGUACUUUCAGUCGUGAGGAAGGUGUUAAGGUUAAUAACCUUAGCAAUUGACGUUAGCGACAGAAGAAGCACCGGCUAACUCCGUGCCAGCAGCCGCGGUAAUACGGAGGGUGCGAGCGUUAAUCGGAAUUACUGGGCGUAAAGGGCACGCAGGCGGUUAAUUAAGUUGGAUGUGAAAUCCCCGGGCUUAACCUGGGAAUGGCAUUCAAGCUGGUUAGCUAGAGUCUUGUAGAGGGGGUAGAAUUCCAUGCGUAGCGGUGAAAUGCGUAGAGAUGUGGAGGAAUACCGGUGGCGAAGGCGGCCCCUGGACAAAGACUGACGCUCAUGUGCGAAAGCGUGGGGAGCAAAC